AGCAGCCGCGGUAAUUCCAGCUCCAAUGGCGUAUAUUAAAGUUGUUGCAGUUAAAAAGCUCGUAGUUGAAUUUCGGGAUCAGUACGUUGGUCAUGCCUUGGUAUGUACUGGUGUAACUGAUUCCUCCCUUCUGACGAACCGUCAUGCCAUUCACUUGGUGUGGCGGGAAAUCAGGACUGUUACUUUGAAAAAAUUAGAGUGUUUAAAGCAGGCUCGCGCUUGAAUACAUUAGCAUGGAAUAAUGAAAUAGGACGUUAAUCCUAUUUUGUUGGUUUCUAGGAUCGACGUAAUGAUUAAUAGGGAUAGUUGGGGGCAUUAGUAUUCAAUUGUCAGAGGUGAAAUUCUUGGAUUUAUUGAAGACUAACUACUGCGAAAGCAUUUGCCAAGGAUGUUUUCAUUAAUCAAGAACGAAAGUUAGGGGAUCGAAGACGAUCAGAUACCGUCGUAGUC
rnacentral:rRNA from 1 species